GACGAACGCUGGCGGCGUGCUUAACACAUGCAAGUCGAACGGAAAGGCCCUGCUUUUGUGGGGUGCUCGAGUGGCGAACGGGUGAGUAACACGUGAGUAACCUGCCCUUGACUUUGGGAUAACUUCAGGAAACUGGGGCUAAUACCGGAUAGGAGCUCCUGCUGCAUGGUGGGGGUUGGAAAGUUUCGGCGGUUGGGGAUGGACUCGCGGCUUAUCAGCUUGUUGGUGGGGUAGUGGCUUACCAAGGCUUUGACGGGUAGCCGGCCUGAGAGGGUGACCGGCACCAUGGGACUGAAAUGAGGGCCCGACCACCACCGGAAGGCAGCGUGGGGAAUAAUGCACAAUGGGCGGAAGCCUGAUGCAGCAACGCCGCGUGCGGGAUGACGGCCUUCGGGUUGUAAACCGCUUUCGCCUGUGACGAAGCGUGAGUGACGGUAAUGGGUAAAGAAGCACCGGCUAACUACGUG
rnacentral:rRNA from 1 species